UUUUCACACUAUAAUAUUAACUUCCACAGGUCCACACAUCCUUCAUUAGAUUUUCAUGUGAAACAUUUGGGCUAGAAUUUAAGAAAGGCCAUCUAACAAAACUAACUUUAACUUGAUCCCUAUGUUGUAUUUUAACAUCUGAUAACUUAAGGAUUGUUGGUUGUAUGAAAUGUUGACGCGUGUUCAAGAGAUUUAGGGUAAGUGUGAUCGAAUGGGUAUUUUGGGUUAAUACGACUACUUUGCCACUGCAUGAUUUUACAAUAUCCUCUUUUGGGAACACCAUGUUGGAACAUCAUAAGAGCUAAGUAAA
rnacentral:misc_RNA from 1 species